UCCAUUUUCGGCAGGUGUCGGGCUUUGAGGACCACCACUGUCAUUCUCUGUGCCACGGGCUGGUAUGACAGAGACACCUGGAGCUCCCCUCUGCUAAUGCACUUCUGUGGAGAAGGAACAGCAGUCUCUAUGCCCAAGGUGGGGCUUGAACUCACAACCCCGAGAUCAAGAGGUGCCUGUUCCACGGACAGAGCCAGCCGGGCGCCCAGGAUCUGGUUCUUGCUCCCAGGGAGCUUACCAUGUCCAGAGAGACAGGCGCAAACAAACACGCCCUCCUCGGGGCCGUCAGGACCUGUCCCAGUGCUGCUGGGGGACCCCCGGGAGGGGGGUUUGCCACACAACCUCCGGGCUGAGUUUAUGACAGUGAGUCCGUGGGAAGACUGGUCAGGACGAGCGGCAGGAAUGGCCGCUAUGAAGGCACUGGGUCCUGAGAGGGUCCCGUGUUCCCAGAGUUGGGGGGAGGUGCCGGGAGGAGGGAACCUGGGGGGUGGGUCAGGCGAGGGCCUCGGAACCAAACAGCAGACUCAGCCGCAACACACAGGCCAAGGGCAGCCACCAGCACAGGGGCGACAGGCGUUGCCGCCGUCGACGAUUUAUGAAGGCCGCUACUGUUCUAGUGGAGGCCGGACAACUGAUGGACGGACAGACGGACGGACGGACGGACAGACAGAGCAGAGGCGGCCCUGAGGCUGAGGAGGGGACACUGAGGCCGGGACCCGGGGAUGGGUGUGGGGCAAGAUGUGUCAGGAAGAACUGACGAAAGUGGAAGUGGGAAGGGAGAGCGGAGGGCAAUUUCUUGUUUCUUAGCUCAUUUUUAAAAUUAUGAUCAAAAAAAAUUUUUUUUUCUCGUUAAAAAUCUUUAAAAAUUUUAA